UACAGAGGUCUCAAGCGUUGUUCGGAUUCAUUGGGCGUAAAGGGUGCGUAGGCGGCGCGGUAAGUCGGGUGUGAAAUCUCGGAGCUUAACUCCGAAACUGCAUUCGAUACUGCCGUGCUUGAGGACUGGAGAGGAGACUGGAAUUUACGGUGUAGCGGUGAAAUGCGUAGAUAUUGUAAGGAAGACCAGUGGCGAAGGCGGGUCUCUGGACAGUUCCUGACGCUGAGACACGAAGGCCAGGGGAGCAAACGGG
rnacentral:rRNA from 1 species